CCAUUCAUUGACUCAUGGGGCUUCUAACUGUACAACAUCUUAUACAGUCCCUGGUCAAUAUGUCACUGUGCUCUUCACACAGGGAGCCUGCCAGAUCAGAUAUUCAGGAUUCAUGGCACUCAAAAAUAACCUGAUUAUUUUUGUAGAUCAGGAGGCAGACCCCAUAUUCAUUCCAGUUAAAGGCUUGCUCAGUUUUGCAUACACAUAUGCUCACAGAAAUUAUGCUGUAGUGAACUCUAUGACAAAAAUCCUAAAUAUUUCUUACAAAAAUUAAUGUGCUGAAAGAACUGGUCUGAAGACAGGAGCAAGAAGAAGCAGAGUCUGUCCCUGUUAUCUAAAAUCAGGGAAGGAAUUGAGUUGAAGAGAAAACCAGGAAAGGAAAUCAUCCCCUGCCUUUGGAAUUGGAUUAAAAAGGUUUGCUCAGGCACAUGCAGCAAUUUCAGCAGAAAGCCCCUGGGUUUCCAGUGACUGUGAAAUGCAGGAUCCAGUGCUGUGUGAGUUCUGCAUUUUCACACAUAGACAUUGGGAACAUCCAGCCUUUUGAAUGAAGCUCAGCAUAUCUUAACUCCAAGGACAUAGACCCAGUGGAAAAAAAUUGCAGUGUACAGACCCCAUCUCCAGCAAGUGCCCAGCAAGGACCUGAGGUUGGAUGUUAAAGGGCUGAGGGUUAAUUCUUGCCCAGCUUUUCUCUGUGACUCUGGACAUGCUGCUCAGGCAUCCAUAACGGAAAUAGGAGCUUGUUUCCAACCAGAGGUUAACUUGGCCACCAUAUAAAAAAAGAGCAUCUCCUGGUGCUCCAAGGUGUGAACACCUGCAAAAUUCUGAGACAAGGAGGCACAAAGAUCAUUGGGAGUGAAAAGAGGACAAGAAGGAGAAAAGGCAGAUGAAGUAGUUGAUUCCUUUCUUCAGAAAUUAUAUUUGCCAACCAUAUCUUAAUGUCUGAGAUUUCUGAUUUUAUUGAGGUUUUUUUUACUACAAUCAGAUGAGUGAAUAUGACCUUGUUGCAAAGCAAGCCACUUACAAUUUUUUUUUAAACUAAAGAUAGCUACUUAAUUUUCUACUUGUGCUAAAACCUCCUCUUUUCAUGUCUUUUCUACUGUCUUGCCGUAUAAUCAAAGUGAAGGAGUGAAAAUAUACCCAAAAAAGACAAUCAUGCCAAAGUGAAGGAAAUCAAAAUUUGGCAUUUUAUAUAACCUACAUUUUAUAUAAAUGUCACAACUGUCUCCCAAAUAGCUUUUAUAGAAGAAAAAAGAAAAGUGGACUUAAGUUCUUCUCAGGAGAUAUCUUUAUUGAUAGCAUCUGUGCUCUUCUGGACUCACAGUGAGAAAUGUGGCUUUGUUUUCUAAAGUGAUUUGCUCACUUGCAGUCCAGCAUUCAGCCACUUGGUAUUCCUGCAUAAACUGAAGUCUUACUUAAGCUCUAGUUUGCAAGUGAGAAGCAGAACUGGCACAGAAACUCUCUGUAGUCUGCAGUUGCAUUAUUCAGUAAUUUUUUCCCCAGUUUAAAACAGAUAGUUGUGUUAUUUAUCAUAGCAAAUAAAAUAAGGAAGAAUUAUUAAAAAUGGGUAAACGCCUGUCAUUCUCCUGCACAUAUCUAAAAUAUUUAUUUCUGUGAAUUUCAUCACUUACUAUUUGUGUCUCAGUUAUUUGUCUUUUUCUAUGAAUGUUUCAGAAUGAGAACUUUCCUGUUCUUGUCUUCACAGCUCAUAACUUUUAUUACUAGGAUCAACUCUCUUUCCUUCUCACCACAUUUUAAAGAAACCAGAUUUUUAUGAUGUGGGUAUUAUUACAUCAAGAGACUGUGGUAAGAAAUUACCAUCUGAUCUGGUAUUUGUGUCCUACACUGAGUACCUGAUAAAAUGAACCAAGUACGUCACCAGAAGAUGGAUGAUUUUGUGGAUAAGGCUCAACCCCCCACAAUGAACUUUAUAGCACAUUUACAGGCUCAUUGUGGACUGGUAUAUAUUGCAGAAAACAUUGUGCCAUGAAGAAAUCCUGGGAUUAGUGCCAAACCAAGGCUACACGUCCACAGGAAAUAGAGCAGUGCUGGGAGACACAUCACCUGGAGACCCCGAGCAAUGAAGGUGCAUUGGCCUGAGGAGAAUGAGUUCCUCAGCUCCUCAGCCCCAGCACUGAUGGAAAUAUCAUCUCCCAGAUUUGAAGCUUGCCUGGCUUGGGUCCAUCCAACCCAGACAGUCUUGAACAUUCCUUGUUCUGUCCCUCUUUCAGGGACUUUUAGCAGUGGUUUCAAUCUCUUCCUAUUAUUGUGCUUCUUAUUACUCUCUUGCAAUGUCAAUUUUUGGAAAAUUAAUGGAAAAGUAUUUCCUUCUGCCUGUUCAAGUUGGAAUUGAUCUAUCUGGAAAUUCUUUUCUUUUUAUAUAUUCAAAGAGAGCCAUGCAUUGUAUAAUCUAAAUAUUACUUUGAAAGAAAUAAUAAAUAUAAAUCAAAAUAUUCAUAGGCUGAGGGUAAAUAAAGUCUGUACUACACUGUGAAUUGGUGGUCAAAAUAACAUUGGUAAUCAGUAAAACAUCACAAAAAAACCCAGAAGAAAAUGUGUGUAUUUUUAAAUAGAUGCUUUCCCAGUUUUGCAAGACAGGAAACGAAACAAUAUGAUGGAAUAUAGAAGCAAUAAACUAUGUUAUAUUUUAACUUAGUUUUUAUUUUGUUACCAAGAAAACAACUCACAUUACUGCAAUAUUUAAGCCAUUACAUGUUUGGUUGGAGUUUUUUCAUUUGUUUGUUUUUGGUUUUUUUUUUCUCCCAGAGGUUGGAUAAUUCUUUAAAUAUAACAGGCUGAGAAAGUUUGCUCAGGCUGUGGUCUAGCUGAAAAAGCAUCACAGAAUAUCUUUCCAUGAAAAAACUGCAGAUAACCAAGGUAUUUCCUUUGCAAUCUGUACUAACUUCCAGACAAAGCCUCUUAUAACAUUUUAGACCUUUUUGAGAUUCAGGGAACUUAAAAAAAUCUCAUCUAAAAAAUUUUGGAAUGAUGAUAAUAAUAGUAGUCAUCAUAACUAAAAAAAUACAUGUUACAUGCAUUUCUAAUACACUGUCAUGAUAGUACUUAAAAUAGUUCAUUAAAAAAAAAUCAAUCCCUCUCUUCUCAGUAAGAGGCCUCAGUAAAAGUUAAUCUUGUUCACCUUAGAGAAGGAAUCCUUGUUCUUACUGUCCUUAGCUGCCUUGUUUGUUUUUUUUAACCCAGCAAUUUCACAUUUUUGUGUAUUACAGUGCAGGUUGAGAUGCACCUCAAAGACCUUUUCAAGCCACCUGAGCACCCAGCAAUGGUGAAAGCCUCAGUGGAGGACACAGAGCACUGCUAAAUAUUUCCUCUCCUGCAGGAUAGCUUGCUUGGUAUGAAAUACAACAGGCUGAAGGCCAAGAGACCACUUUGCCACUUUAAAAUAGAAUUACCUUAUUAUUACUCAGCAAAGCCAGCUGCUUCAAUUCAAAGCACUGCCACCCCUGCACACCCUCCCCCCCCCACCCCAAUUUGCCCAGGAGGGUCAAACUGUGCCAACUUUACUGAAAUCAUUGGCAGGCACUAGGAGCUCACACCCUGUGUGUCAUUCAAGGCUUGUCUCUCCAUCAGGAUAAUAAAUACCUCAUGGGAAGUGUUUCGGUGCUCACAAGGCAUGACAAAUCCUGAGUCACUCACACCACUUCUUUUAGUACAUGAGUAUUUGGGCAUUGCCUUUUCCCCUGAAGGUCUCCCUUCUAGAUUGAGUCAAGUUAUUUUAACAUACAAGAUGUGAGACCAGCUUUGCUUUUAAUAUGCUUGCUCAAAAUGUGACCACCAUUCUUGGGGUCUUAGCUAUGCUAGUUUUUGCUCAUGCAAUGAAAUAUUUCAUCUUCUUUUCUAAAAUAUACUGAAAUGUAUUGAACAACCCCAUGUGGCUGAGGAAAACCAUACUCUUACCUAUUACGUUUAGAAUUUUGUAAAGGGGAAAUUUAUUUCAGUGCAAUAGAACUCCUGCUCAGAGAGUUAGAAUGUAGUCUCCUGGACAACUACACACAAACCAUGCCAUUAUCAUCCCAGCUAAGCAAGGCAUUUGGGCUUUUCACAGCAGAACAGCAAUGGUAAUUGAUUGCAGGUGUACCAGGCAGUGAGCAGCACUGGGAUGCUUCACUCCUUCAUCGUGCCUCAAGCAGCAGGAGGAUGCUUUGGGCUGCUCUGUUUGGCAGGUACUCAACUCAAGACAUGUUUGGAAAGCAACAAACUCAGAACUUGGAAGAUCUUGUUUUUGCUAAUAUUUCUUCUAUGACUUCUAAAGUUUGCAACUUUUCCUUUCUCAAUAGGAGUCUUAUUUAGAAAGAUGCAAAUAAAAAUUUAGGUUUGUAAAAUGUAGAAGGUGUAGGGAAGUCUUGGGCAUCUGAAGGAGGGGAAAAGGAAAGGGAGAGGGAUAUGGAAUAUUUGACAAGGACUGACAAUGGGGUGAGAGGAAAUUGUAAUAGAAAAUCGACUCUCACCGUAUGUAAAUUGUGUAAGAUCCACUUUAUUCUUUGCCUAUGUAGGUGCUUCUCAAUGGUAUAAAAGAACCAAUGCUUUGGUUUGUUUAAGAAACAUAAUUGACUUCAUUUAAGGACUAAUAUCUCACUUGAAAUAAACAUCUAAAAUGUAAUUAAAUAUGCCAUUUAGUGUAAUGAAAUGCUUUCUUUAGUCUUAAGAAACUUUAUUUUGCCUUAA